AGCACCCCGACGGGGGGAGUGAAACAGCACCUGAAACCGGAUGCUUACAAACAGUGGGAGCUCAAGGUUCGUCCUGAGUGACCGCGUACCUUUUGUAUAAUGGGUCAGCGACUUAAAGUUACGAGCGAGCUUAAGCCGGUAGGUGGAGGCGCAGCGAAAGCGAGUCUGAACAGGGCGUUCAGUUCGUGGCUUUAGACCCGAAACCGAGUGAUCUAG
rnacentral:rRNA from 1 species